rnacentral:sRNA from 1 species
ACACCCCCUAACUAGCCAUAAGCACCCCAGUCUUUAGCUACACCCAAGUCUGGGAUGCAAGGGGGCCUUAGCAGCUGGCUGACCCAGGAUGCCCAAGGUCACCAUUCCCUAGACUCUAGGCAUCAUGCCACAUGCUGCACAUGCAGCGUCUUUGAGUCCUUGCAGCCGUGUGAGGCACGGUAUCAUUACUCCCAUUUUACAGAGGAAGAUACUGAAGCUCAGAGAGUGCCUGAGCAGCCCUGGAGAAGGAGUGUCACUUUUCCUCCAUCUCUGCCACUGACUGGCUGGAUGCACAGGAGGAUUGGGUCUCCAGACAGGAUUGUAAAGGGCAUGAGGGCUGCUUGUCCUUAUCAGAAGUUUCCUGAGCACCAGCCCUUAGAGACAGGGAGGAAGGCAAGAGUGCGCCUUUGAGGAACGCACAAGCCCAGGAGUUCCAACUGGGCUGCAGUGGAGGCUAAGUUGCAGCAGGACUUUUGAGCAAGCAUGCACAGAGGCCAGCAAGAGCAACUGGAGGCUGUGGUGCCGUGCUACUCGUAUGGGCAGAAGCUGUCCAAACUGGCCAUCCUGAGGAUCGCCUGUAACUACAUCCUGUCCCUGGCGCGGCUGGCUGACCUCGACUACAGUGCCGACCACAGCAACCUCAGCUUCUCUGAGUGUGUGCAGCGCUGCACCCGCACCCUGCAGGCUGAGGGACGUGCCAAGAAGCGCAAGGAGUGACUGGCUGCAGGCAAGACCAAGGCCACCACUGUGGGCCCUCCUUCCAGUCAGGCCUGAGGACAAGGUGAGCUCGCUGAGUCCAGCCUCGUGGUCUUCUCCAAGAUGCCACCAGACGCCCAGCCUACAGCCUCUCAGGGUCGGAUCGGAGCACGCCUGCCUCCCUCUCCCCUCCACCCUCACCCAGCCACUCCCAGGCUGCUUCGCACUUUGCCCUCUGCCUGGUGGGGAGGGGAGAGCUCAGCCCCCCACUCACUCAGACCCCAAGGCCCACUGUCCAGCUGCAGAAAUUCGUUGCCAAAGAUUGGACAGAGACACCGAAGGAAAUGGGGUGAUGAAACCCCACAGCGAAAAGCCACACCGUUGCUCUGUGACUUUUGCUCCUCCUGUUGCCUGAGCCCCAUCUCAAGCCAAAGAUGAGUCAGUGGUUCUGCCAGGAACUCAUGGAAGGGAUGGGCAUUUGAUGACCCCUGGAGGUCAUCUUGGCCCUCUAACCUGGCGCUCUCUCUCCACUGGGCCUUGCGCUGGCUGAGUGCAAGACAAGCCUUAGGGGCUGUGAGAGGGUGCCUGGGCGGGGCCGGUAGUGGGGCCUGAGAUCCCGGCCCACUCUCUCCCCUUCAUUGGCUGCCCAGGCCGCUGGUCCCAGUUCUCAGUGUCCCUGGGUCCAGGCUUCUUGGGUCCUGAGCAUCACCAGAAGGGAGUAAGCAGGGAGAGAAGCAAUAUUACUCCCUCCCCUACACCAGGGACUUGCCCCAGGGCAGCUACCUAUGGGUCUUUGCUCCCCCAGUCAGCGUCUCCUCACUGUGACCCACUCCCAUGGGCCCCCAUCCCAGGCAGCCAGCCCAUGGGCAGGCCCUGCCAUGGACAGAAAAAGAGUUUUUCUCUUGUUCAGCCUGCCCGUGGCCUGAGGAAGGAGUGGAGGCUGGGUUGGCUCGAGCCGUCCUACUGGGCAAGAUGGCGCCCCACUUGGAGGGCGGUGGCCUGUUACAGGGUGUGCAGGGGCAGAGAAGGAAGGGACCAGGGGACUGGGCCAGUAUGUGGAGGACGGAGGGGUGUGUUCAAAGCCAAGGCCUGCCCCUUCCUUGUGCUCAAAUGGCCAAAGCUGUUCACAUCUGGGCUCAACCAUCUGCUUCAAAUUGAAGUAAAAGCCCCAAAAUGUCAAGAAAA